GGGUUGUGAGGUUAAGCGACUAAGCGUACACGGUGGAUGCCCUGGCAGUCAGAGGCGAUGAAGGACGUGCUAAUCUGCGAAAAGCGUCGGUAAGGUGAUAUGAACCGUUACAGCCGGCGAUGUCCGAAUGGGGAAACCCAGUGCAAUUCGUUGCACUAUCGUUAACUGAAUACAUAGGUUAACGAGGCGAACCGGGGGAACUGAAACAUCUAAGUACCCCGAGGAAAAGAAAUCAACCGAGAUUCCCCCAGUAGCGGCGAGCGAACGGGGAGCAGCCCGGAGUCUGAAUCAGCUUGUGUGUUAGUGGAAGCGUCUGGAAAGUCGCAGGGUACAGGGUGAUACUCCCGUACACUAAAACACACAGGCUGUGAACUCGAAGAGUAGGGCGGGACACGUGGUAUCCUGUCUGAAUAUGGGGGGACCAUCCUCCAAGGCUAAAUACUCCUGACUGACCGAUAGUGAACCAGUACCGUGAGGGAAAGGCGAAAAGAACCCCGGCGAGGGGAGUGAAAAAGAACCUGAAACCGUGUACGUACAAGCAGUAGGAGCCCCACCACCAAAGCGUUUCGCUUUGCGUGGUGCGCAAAAUGCGUAACGACAGCAUGAUGGACGGUUAACGGAGCGUAAGCGACGUUCAACAUCAAAAAUCAGGCAGUGGAGCGUUUUGGGGUGGGGUGACUGCGUACCUUUUGUAUAAUGGGUCAGCGACUUAUAUUCUGUAGCAAGGUUAACCGAAUAGGGGAGCCGCAGGGAAACCGAGUCUUAACUGGGCGUUAAGUUGCAGGGUAUAGACCCGAAACCCGGUGAUCUAGCCAUGGGCAGGUUGAAGGUUGGGUAACACUAACUGGAGGACCGAACCGAC
rnacentral:rRNA from 13 species